rnacentral:rRNA from 1 species
CCUACGGGUGGCAGCAGUGAGGAAUAUUGGUCAAUGGCCGGAAGGCUGAACCAGCCAUGCCGCGUGAAGGUCAGUGCCCUAUGGGCGUUAAACUUCUUUUGUGCGGGAGCAAUAAUGGUCACGUGUGGCCAGACGAGAGUACCGUACGAAUAAGCAUCGGCAAACUCCGUGCCAGCAGCCGCGGUAAUACGGGGGAUGCAAGCGUUAUCCGGAUUUAUUGGGUUUAAAGGGUGCGUAGGCUGUGAGGUAAGUCAGCGGUGAAAUGCCCCCGGUCAACGGGGUGAAGUGCCAUUGAUACUGCCUGGCUGGAAUGCGGAUGCCGUGGGAGGAAUGUGUGGUGUAGCGGUGAAAUGCAUAGAUAUCACACAGAACACCGAUUGCGAAGGCAUCUCACGAAUCCGCGAUUGACGCUGAUGCACGAAAGCGUGGGUAUCAAACAGGAUUAGAUACCCGUGUAGUC